rnacentral:rRNA from 1 species
UACGUAGGGGGCAAGCGUUGUCCGGAUUUAUUGGGCGUAAAGAGCGUGUAGGCGGCCAGACAGGUCUGCUGUGAAAACUCGAGGCUCAACCUCGAGACGCCGGUGGAAACCGUUUGGCUAGAGUCCGGAAGAGGAGAGUGGAAUUCCUGGUGUAGCGGUGAAAUGCGUAGAUAUCAGGAGGAACACCGGUGGUGUAAACGGCUUUCUGGACCAUAACUGACGCUGAGGCACGAAAGCGUGGGUAGCAAACAGG